GAGUUUAGCGGUUGCGCCUUGUAAAAACGCCCAAAGCCAGAAUGUUUUGUUUCGGGGGUGUGGUGUCGAGUCAUAGGGUGUUUGUUUUGACAUCUAGCUAAGGUAGGAGGUACUCAAGUUGAAGUUGAAGUUAGAGCCAGAAUAGGGUUCCGUCGCCGCAGCGGCGGAGGCGGCGGCGGCUGUACUGGCUGGAUCUCUCGUAUUGGGUGUACGACGUCACCCACCACGGCAAGCGGAGCGGCGGCCGCCAUCUCGUCGACCCCGCGCGCGACACCCCCGACCCGAGGGAGUGGGAACACGACCGGGAGUGGUGGCACGAGGUGGUCGGCCGGCGGCCUGGACAGAAGCGGGUGAUGUUCCGGCGUAUGAUAUGGCAGGAACGGAAGCAGGAGAAGCAGCGGCACGGCCACCUCGACCCCUAGCGGAAGACGGACGGGGCGACGUCGGUGCCCGCGGCCUAGGUAGUAAAACGGUCCCAAGAGCAGGGGACGCGAAUGGACGACGAGGAGCAGCAGUAGAGGCAGCCACCUAAGCAGGGGAAAUUCGAGACUUGAUGGACGACGAGGAGCAGCAGUAGAGACGGCCACCUAAGCAGGGGAAAUUCGAAACUAGAUGCACGACGAGAAGGAGCAGCAGUAGAGGCAGCCACCUAAGCAGGGGAAAUUCGAGACUAGAUGCACGACGUCCUAUUCAGCUAACCAGACCAACUAGCCGCCAAGUAAACAUAAGACAGUUUUAAACAGGCACGACAGUCACCAAUAGACGAAAGAAUAACAAGACCCAUGUAUACGUACGUGAUCUAUCAGACAAAGAUCUAUGAAAGGUUCAUGCAACACAAUCCCUUACACUCAGACAUACAGUGCCACAACAGGAGCUGGACGUGUGUUCAUUUAUAAAAAAAAAGUACACAGGUACACAACAAUGUACAUACGUGAGAAGAGUGAGCGUAUACUCCUCCCCCAGCAGUUCUACUUAAAGUAUACGGGCUGAGACGAACUUAACUCGUCCAAAAGACACUUUACUGAAUUUAUAACUCCUCGUGUGUUAUUUAAGGGGUUAGGUUCGUCCGGGAGUCAGAAUUAUUUGUGACGUUGAAAACAUACCUACGAACAAUUACAAACUUACCCUUCAUCUUAAUAACCCGUGUUUAAUCCGACUGAAGAGUAGUCUGUCGAAGCAAAAUUCAUGUAUGCAAAGCGAAAAAACACAAAGUCAAAACGUUAACUUACUCACACGGCCAGAAACUAGCUUCGACCCUUAAUAAUUAAUAAGCUUCUUGCCACUUUCUGAUGUGUUAUCGGACCAUAGCCUAAGUCUAAACAGAUUAUGAUUAAUCUAGGUCUAGAGUCCAAGUAUACGACCCAUUGUGGCACGUAGAUUUCCUAUUGUCUUGCUCGUUAAGUACGAGAAUACGUACACUUAAAACUGGAUACGGUAGCAAUCAUUUCGACGAGUACACAAUACGAGACAAAGAUAAUUAAAACAUACUGUCAAAUAAAUAACGAAUUUACCGUCCGCACCGUCAAAUGUACCUUAAUUGUACGAAAGUAACAAAUGUUUAAGUCCCAACGAUAAGAACCUUCAAUCAGAACAUGGAGUUCCUUUACUUCGGUCACCAAUGCUUGAAUGCUAGAGAAACAGCGUGUGGCAUUAAACAAUAGAUACCCCGACAUCGGUCACGACUAAAUUACGAGUUCAGUGUUAAAGGUCUACUAGUCGUGGCUGCAGAACGGUUUCGUCGUGAGCUGCACAUUCCAGCCGAAGGGCGUCGCGCCGAAGAAGGUGUGCCACCACGUCAAGCACACGAGCGAGCUACACAGUCCAGCCGAAGGGCGUCGCGCCGAAGAAGGUGUGCCACCACGUCAAGCACACGAGCGAGCUACACAGUCCAGCCGAAGGGCGUCGCGCCGAAGAAGGUGUGCCACCACGUCAAGGACACGAGCGAGCUGCACGAGCACUCACUCUGGCUCCGCGAGGCCGUCCCCAAGUUACUCAUGAGGUCGACCGGGUGGACCGGCGUCGUAACGUAACUGCUUUUCCUCCUACUGGGGGCCGGAGACGUAUUGUUCACGACUACAUAUCGAGUUCCACAGAGUGUAUUAUGCUUGUCGUUUUCCACAUGAGACGAAAGAACAAAUGGCGCCGGUGUUAAAGGUUCACCAGACGUAACUGCAGAACGGUUUCGUCGCGAGUUGCAAAGACCAGCCGAUGGGCGUCACACCGAAGAGGGUGUACCACCACGUCCAAGACACCAACGAACAACACGGGAAGCUUUGCGAGUUACACGAGCGACUGCUCCGCGAGGUCGUCACCGAGUUCCUCAUGAGUUCGACCGUGUGGAGGGGCGUCGAGAUGUAGCUUAAGCUCAAGAAGUCUCCCACACUGUAGUGUCAACCAUACAUUUAUACUCCAAACGAGAGACCGAGACGGAAGGGAAGAGGGUGCUAAUACCGUCAGAGUUUACAAAUUACCAAAUAAAGAAGUGUAAGUCAUCCUAACCUCACGUGUACCGUGAGACAUGGCCACCUUAUAUACGAGAGACGGAAAGGAAGAGGGUACUAAUACUAAUGCCAAGUUUUAAACUGAGACGACAUCAUCAUGUGCGGCUACAAGCAAUACUUAACAAGGCACUCUUUGGACAAGAAACGUAGUCUCGUAUGAUUAAGUAAGCUACUAACCUACAUGAAAAUCUACUCCCGUUGUAACCAUCUAAACUGUAUACCCCCUCACCGUAACAAAGUAUCAUCAACUCAAGAAG
rnacentral:rRNA from 1 species